GAUGAAGAACGUAGCGAAAUGCGAUAAGCAGUGUGAAUUGCAGAAUUCAGUGAAUCAUCGAAUCUUUGAACGCACAUUGCGCCCCUUGGUAUUCCAUGGGGCAUGCCUGUUCGAGCGUCAUUUGUACCUUCAAGCUUUGCUUGGUGUUGGGUGUUUGUCCCUCGGGACUCGCCUUAAAGUCAUUGGCAGCCAGUGUUUUGGUUUUGAAGCGCAGCACAAGUCGCGAUUCAAGGCUAUCCGCCCGCUUCCACAAGCCUUUUUCACUUUUGACCUCGGAUCAGGUAGGGAUACCCGCUGAACUUAAGCAUAUCAAUAAGCGGAGGA
rnacentral:misc_RNA from 1 species